GACGAACGCUGGCGGCGUGCCUAAUACAUGCAAGUCGAGCGGACAGAAGGGAGCUUGCUCCCGGAAGUUAGCGGCGGACGGGUGAGUAACACGUGGGCAACCUACCCUGUAGAUCGGGAUAACAUCGAGAAAUCGGUGCUAAUACCGGAUAAUCAUUUGAAGUGCAUGCUUCGAAUGUAAAAGAUGGCUCCGGCUAUCACUACGGGAUGGGCCCGCGGCGCAUUAGCUAGUUGGUAAGGUAAUGGCUUACCAAGGCAACGAUGCGUAGCCGACCUGAGAGGGUGAUCGGCCACACUGGGACUGCGACACGGCCCAGACUCCUACGGGAGGCAGCAGUAGGGAAUCUUCCGCAAUGGACGAAAGCCCGACGGAGCAACGCCGCGUGAGUGAUGAAGGUUUUCGGAUCGUAAAGCUCUGUUGUUAGGGAAGAACAAGUGCCGUUUGAAUAAGGCGGCACCUUGACGGUACCUAACCAGAAAGCCACGGCUAACUACGUGCCAGCCGCCGCGGUAAUAC
rnacentral:rRNA from 1 species